rnacentral:misc_RNA from 1 species
GAUGAAGAACGCAGCGAAACGCGAUAUGUAAUGUGAAUUGCAGAAUUCAGUGAAUCAUCGAAUCUUUGAACGCACAUGGCGCCUUCCAGUAUCCUGGGAGGCAUGCCUGUCCGAGCGUCGUUUCAACCCUCGAGCCCCCGUGGCCCGGCGUUGGGGAUCUGUCCAGGCAGUCCCCGAAAACCAGUGGCGGACCCGUUACAGGCCCUUCCCUUGCGUAGUAGCAUUCGCCUCGCAUCGGGAGCCGGCGGGCUUCCAGCCUCUAAACCCCCAUCAAGUCCGCCCCGGCGGCACCAAGGUUGACCUCGGAUCAGGUAGGAAUACCCGCUGAACUUAAGCAUAUCAAUAAGCGGAGGA